GAUGAACGCUAGCUACAGGCUUAACACAUGCAAGUCGAGGGGAAACGAUAUUGGAAGCUUGCUUCCGAUAGGCGUCGACCGGCGCACGGGUGAGUAACGCGUAUCCAACCUGCCCAUCACUUGGGGAUAACCUUGCGAAAGUAAGACUAAUACCCAAUGACGUCUCUAGAAGACAUCUGAAGGAGAUUAAAAGAUUUAUCGGUGAUGGAUGGGGAUGCGUCUGAUUAGCUUGUUGGCGGGGUAACGGCCCACCAAGGCGACGAUCAGUAGGGGUUCUGAGAGGAAGGUCCCCCANAUUGGAACUGAGACACGGUCCAAACUCCUACGGGAGGCAGCAGUGAGGAAUAUUGGUCAAUGGGCAGAGCCUGAACCAGCCAAGUAGCGUGCAGGAUGACGGCCCUAUGGGUGUAAACUGCUUUUAUAAGGGAAUAAAGUGGGAGUCGUGACUCUUUUUGCAUGUACCUUAUGAAUAAGGACCGGCUAAGUCCGUGCCAGCAGCCGACGG
rnacentral:rRNA from 1 species